rnacentral:rRNA from 1 species
GACGAACGCUGGCGGCGUGCCUAAUACAUGCAAGUAGGACGCACAGUUUAUACCGUAGCUUGCUACACCAUAGACUGUGAGUUGCGAACGGGUGAGUAACGCGUAGGUAACCUACCUAUUAGAGGGGGAUAACUAUUGGAAACGGUAGCUAAUACCGCAUAACAGUAUGUAACACAUGUUAGAUGCUUGAAAGAUGCAAUUGCAUCGCUAGUAGAUGGACCUGCGUUGUAUUAGCUAGUAGGUAGGGUAAUGGCCUACCUAGGCAACGAUACAUAGCCGACCUGAGAGGGUGAUCGGCCACACUGGGACUGAGACACGGCCCAGACUCCUACGGGAGGCAGCAGUAGGGAAUCUUCGGCAAUGGGGGGAACCCUGACCGAGCAACGCCGCGUGAGUGAAGAAGGUUUUCGGAUCGUAAAGCUCUGUUGUUAAGGAAGAACGAGUGUGAGAAUGGAAAGUUCAUGCUGUGACGGUACUUAACCAGAAAGGGACGGCUAACUACGUGCCAGCAGCCGCGGUAAUACGUAGGUCCCGAGCGUUGUCCGGAUUUAUUGGGCGUAAAGCGAGCGCAGGCGGUUAGAAAAGUCUGAAGUGAAAGGCAGUGGCUCAACCAUUGUAGGCUUUGGAAACUGUUUAACUUGAGUGCAGAAGGGGAGAGUGGAAUUCCAUGUGUAGCGGUGAAAUGCGUAGAUAUAUGGAGGAACACCGGUGGCGAAAGCGGCUCUCUGGUCUGUAACUGACGCUGAGGCUCGAAAGCGUGGGGAGCGAACAGG